CCUAAUUACUCCUGUAAGUCUCUCUGGAUAAGAGCGUCUGCUAAAUGACUAAAA
rfam:Salmo salar isolate Sally breed double haploid chromosome ssa27, whole genome shotgun sequence.